AGCAGCAGAAGAGUUUUUUUCAGGGAACACACUAUCCUGACGUUCACACCAGAGACCAGCUCGCCUGUCGAACGCAGCUGUCUGAGGGAAGAGUUCAGAUCUGGUUCCAGAACCGGCGGGCGAAGUGGAGGCGCAGUGAAGCUAAAGCAGCACACAGACCGCUAACCGUGCUGAGAGAUGCACAACACACUCACCUCCUGACCCCUGUCCUCUGUGUUCCCUACCUGAGUUUUCACCAGAAGCUCUGGCUGCCGGAGUCAAUCUGUCCUCCCAUUGGUUCUCCUGAACUCGCCACACAUCAACACCGUUCAUACUUCUGACCUCAUCGCUUUCAUGGGCCCCUGCCAAAGAGACAUUUUCAGAAGAUCAAGGACCUAUUCUAAGAAUAAAAGGACAUAUGGGGUCUUGUAUUAUAUGGACUGUUAACAGCUUUUGCACACUGGUGUACAGAAACAUCACUCUAUCAUGUGUUGUGUAUUUAAGAACUGGCUUCUUUUUUUUAUUCUAAAACAGAAAUCAUAUGUGAAGUGAUGACCGUGUGGCAAGCUGUAAAUCAGUUUCCUUAUCUCAUCACAAUAAAACCCUGAUCAAACCAGAAAGUGACACAGCACUCACCCACUAAACUGAUGGAUUCCCAGAAUCAUACAAGACAAAUGAUGAAAUACCAUUUCCAGUCCUUUGAAGAUGACCAUAUUUUCAUUUUAAUGAAGGCUCAUUCAAUUAAAUCUGAGUAUUUUCUGACAAAUACAACAUCUAUAAUUCAAUUUCAAAUCUAGUGCAUGAAACUGUAGAUGUGUGCAUGUGUCUGUGGUUAAUUGGACAACAUUAAAUAUGUAUUUAACUAAUUGUUUAGAACAAGUGUUCUAUUUUAUCGCCGGCCUCCAAGAGGUGAACUUGUAAACUUGAAUGGAUAUGGUGUCAUAAAGGAAUUUCGUUGUUGGAAUUUCUAAUUAUCACUGAAUUAGUUUAUUGGCUCUUAAGCCAUAAAGUUCAGUUUUAUCUUAAUUUGAUAAAAUAGUUCACAGGCAGGUCAGGACGGGUGGAGAGGGCAAACGCAGGGAUGACUGCAUGUUGAAUACUGAAGGAAAACAGACAACAGAUAACAGCAAAAAUCAAACCCUAGUCUCGAGUUAUCUGAGGGCAAUGAGGCCGUGUUCUCAGGCUGGAGGACAGAAAACACAACAUGUUUUGCUUGAAACCAACAUAGAAAACCACUCCUAGUGAAAACAAGCUUUUGUGUCAUUGGACUUUGAACUAUUAUUUGACAUAAUUUUAAAAACUGUUCUGAAGAAUCACUUGGUUUUUGUAAAGUUAAUUAGUAUUGUGUAUAGCAGCUCAUUUUUUUGACACAUAAUAAACCCAAAAUAUCACAGAACAGAGAACAUGGGCGCACACAUACCUCAUAAAAUGGUAAAAUAAACAAAACUUUUCAUGGGACUUUGAUAUGGAUGCAGUUUGUGUGUCAUAAAUUAUAACAAGCUGAUUCAAAGUGACUUUGCACUUAACGGUGAACAUGAAAAUCUGAGCUGGAAUAUUUUCUGUAUGUAGAAUGCACACGUAUUUUUAUAGACUACAUUAUGGGAAAUUUGUGGGAGUCUGAUGGUAAA